UACAGAGGGGGCAAGCGUUGUUCGGAAUUACUGGGCGUAAAGGGCUCGUAGGUGGCCAACUAAGUCAGACGUGAAAUCCCUCGGCUUAACCGGGGAACUGCGUCUGAUACUGGAUGGCUUGAGAUUGGGAGAGGGACGCGGAAUUCCAGGUGUAGCGGUGAAAUGCGUAGAUAUCUGGAGGAACACCGGUGGCGAAGGCGGCGUCCUGGACCAACACUGACACUGAGGAGCGAAAGCCAGGGGAGCAAACGGG
rnacentral:rRNA from 1 species